ACAUACAUGUAUUUUUAUAUAUUUAUAUUUAAGAGCACAUAUGUGAUAAAACUACAUUUUAACUAUAUUUGGAUGUGUAUGUAUCUGUAUUUAAAGAGUACAUAUGUGAUUUUAAGGGUUUACAAUUGUCUAAAAUUUAAGAAAGCAAGAGCAUGAGAAACCCAAGGCUCACGAUAGUGAACACAUCAGGUGACCAGGGCUGGGAUGGGUUAGGAAGAUGUAAGUUUCAUCAUGUCUGAUCAAACAGAUUAAGGCACAGGCCACUCAUGGACCAAUGAAGAGUGUGCAUCUUCAACUUAGGAUUCUGAUGAAUUCUGCACAUCUGAGUCCAAAUUAAACAAACAAAAGAAACAAGGUGUUUUCUUAAUGUUUUCAUCUGUUUUAUGUUCUUUCUGUUGGUUGAACCUUCCAAUUUGGAUUUUUUUUCACCUCCCCCCACAAAAUUGGGGGGAUGGGGGAGUAAAUAGCAUUCGACAACCUCACAUUUUGGCAUGCUACCUGUAGGAAAACAAGCCCUAUGUAAUGAAAUACCACUUCCCCAAGAACUAACUGCAGGUGACAGUGGAUGCCAGUAACAGGUACGAAGGAACAUUUAUGCACUCAAAUUAAAUUUGAUGUCUCAAGUAUUUCAUGUGCUGUGGUAAAAUAUAGGGUCUUUUCAGAGUGGGUAGGGUUGUGUGUCUACGGUAAGAUCUUCUAGGGACAGGAUCGCUUCUGCUCAUUGGCACAUCCCCACAUCCCCAGCACCUGACAUGGUGUCUCGCCACCUAGUAGGUACUUAAGAAACGUCUGCUGGGUGGAUAGAGAAAUUGUGUGCUGCUUGGGUUUUCCCAGGACUCGCCAGCCUGUGUGGACAAAUGGAAUCCCACCAGUAGGACUCUUCCAAGUUUCCCGGCUCCUGCCCCUAUUCCCAAAUCUGCACUGGUUAUUUGCACGACUCCUGCCAAUAGCUUACUUGGCCACAUAAAUGGGCCUCGUGUUUGGUGGUUGUUUUCCUGCUGUUGUCCCCGUCUACAGACAUCUGCUAAACAUGCCAUCUCUUCAAGGCUCCUCAGUACUGUAUCUGGCCUCCAAUGGAGCACUGUCCCCCCACGGAAGGCAGUGUUCCAGGGUGUCCGGAGGACAAGCCGUCCAGCCGCCACCCUGGGCUGCAGUUUCUGUCAGCUGCGGUGCCAGGAGCCAGAAGCUCUCCUUUCAUGGCUCAUGUGGCCAGCCAGACGACCGCAGUGGCGGUGGGGGCCUGCAGCCCUUCUCCCACAUGGCUCAGCCAUGGAGUAUGCCUCUUCUCCCUAGCGUGACUGCAGAAAAUUCUUCCUCAUUCUUGUUCAGAUGAAGCGAAGCAAAACAAAGUCUCCUGCAAAGAAACUCCCAGAGGUGCUGCUUACUGGUUCUUCAGAAAUGGCCUGUCUACAGUUACCAGGCUCCUGAGGGAGGUCAAGGAUUUGGGUCACAGGGGGCCAAGAGCUGCUCAGCCAGCUGCAAGGACCAAGCCAGAGAAAGCUUUAGGUAAGGGAGACAAAAGCAAGGAAGAAGAGGAAACCAACAUUUAAUUGCUUACAAUGUGCAAGAUUUUAUAUGUUUUACUCAAUUUAAUCCUCAAAAUAUCUGUGGGCGAAUACUGUAACCCAUGUUUUGGAGACAAGGGCAUGGAGGCUAAGUUUAAAUAUUACAUCAUAAUGUGGCUUAGAUGUAUGGCAACAAACAACUGAUACUGACUCCCAGGCCUCAACACAGCUGGAGAACAGCUGGCCCCAAGUGGGGGCGAGUCCUUUGCAAGAAUACAGAAAAGAAGGAGCAGAGCAAAUAUUUGCUUUCCUGGGGGUGACCCGGCCACUGACAAGAGCUGAGAUGCAUGUGUCUGGUUCCUCUCCAAACUCACCAGAGCUGAGUUCUGAAGCAAUUCAGAGGAGGAAGGACAGAAAAGUAGGCAGAAGAAGGGGAACCUGAGCAUUACCCACAUCACGGACGGAGCUGUUGCUGGAGGGUACAGCAAAUGUCUCCAGAGUCUGGGGGAGCUGGGGUCAGGCAGAGCCCCUGCGAGUCUACACAUCUAUCACCCUGCAGGAUUAACCAUGAACGGGAGGUCCUGCCAUUGGGCACCAGGUGGAAGACAAGCAUGUGGGAAGGUAGAAAAGUUCAAGAGGCGGAGUGCUCUGGCAGGUGAGUGAGAUCUGGGUUUGGGGCUGAGCUUUGUGACCAGGUGUGGCUGUGUGACCUUGAACAAUCACUUCCCCUCUCUGGGUCUCAAUUUUCCCCUCUGUAAAAUAAGCAUCCCUUAGUGACCCACGAGUUCCUUGCAGAACAUUCCUUGACUUACAGUCAUGGAGCAAUAGGAUCUUCAGACUCUUGUCAUGGGCCAUGGGUCAUCCCAGUAGCCCAAGUGUCACAGCACCGGGGAGGAUGAUCACGUGGCCUUGGCUCUAUUCUGACAUGCAAAGGUGAGGAUGGCAAUGAUUCGGGGCUGAUACACUUACCAAGUGUAUUUUCUUCAUCAUUUCUAAAUGAGACCCACGGCGAAUGGAGCUGGGGACACCCCACUGGGGUGUCUCAUUCCAGCUUCUCCCUUGAAUAGUUCUCUGACCUUGGGCAAGAAUGAUUAUGUUUGCCCUCUGGGGUUUCUCUAGCAGAAUAUGUCUCUCGCUGGGUCAGAGUCUGGACGGUGCCUGUGGCAGCGUCUGCCUCGUGUCAUCGUUCACGCUUGUGAUGGUGACAGAUCUCAAGGACUCCGUAGUGAACGAGGGUGACAGAAGAAUCCCGGCCCACCGGCAACAGUAGACUAGAAUUCAGAGCCAUAGUUUCACAGGCGUUUUAUUAUUAAAACAUCUUAGUGAAUGCAAAGUAGCAAAUUGAUUUUCCAGCAAAACAUUUGAUUUUAGUUUCUUGGACGUGUUUUUAUAGCUUAACAGCAAUAAACAUUUUUCUCUUCUUGAAUUGAACGGUUGAGUGGGUCCACUGAGCAUUCUGUGUUUUGGAAAUGUUUCCUUUGGAUGGCAUUCAGAGCAGCAAAAUCCUAUUAUACAUCCCAAUUUGGAAAGCCCCUGUUUGACUACUUUUGACCAAGGAUUAACUUUGCAUUUGUAUUGAAUGAGCAGGCAACUUCCCUCACUGACAUGUUUAUAAAGAUAAUAUUUCAAGAUUUCUAAGUUACAUGUUUUUCACUUAGGUCAUUUUUGUUUUCUUUUUGAAUCAUAGUCAAAAUAUACAAAUGAAUAAAAAUAUAAAGCUUUUACAUAUAAUCUCACUCAUAACUAAGUUCUUUUAUUAGUAAUUUUUUUUUUAUAUGAACAGCUUUUAUUAGGUAGUGAUACAAGUAUGCCCAAUGCCUCUGGAAAUGCCCCAAACUUCUCUUGAGAAAGAUCUAUUAGUAGUUUGUUUGUUUGUUUGUUUUAUUUGCAAGUGACAACUUAUCUCAAAAUAGCAUAUGAGAGAGGGAGGGGGAGAGAGGAAGAGAAGAGAGAGAGAGUCUAUUGGUUCAAA